GGAGGUGUGGCUCAAGUGGUAGAGUAUCAACCUUAAGUGAUAAAGCCAAGUGAGACCUGGAGGUCCUGAGUUCAAGCCUCAGUACCUGCA
rnacentral:tRNA from 1 species